rnacentral:rRNA from 1 species
AACCAGCACCUCAAGUGGUCGGGAUGAUUAUUGGGCCUAAAGCAUCCGUAGCCGGCUCUGUAAGUUUUCGGUUAAAUCUGUACGCUCAACGUACAGGCUGCCGGGAAUACUGCAGAGCUAGGGAGUGGGAGAGGUAGACGGUACUCGGUAGGAAGGGGUAAAAUCCUUUGAUCUAUUGAUGACCACCUGUGGCGAAGGCGGUCUACCAGAACACGUCCGACGGUGAGGGAUGAAAGCUGGGGGAGCAAACCGG